UUCGCACUAGCUCAAUCGGCAGAGCGCCGCUUUCGUAAAGCGGAGGUCGCAGGUAAGUGGCCUGUCGUCAGGCCAUCAACUCCUGCCGACAGCACUCGUCAUCACACCAACCCAGGAGGCCGUAUGGCACGCCACGAUCACGACGAACCCUGCUUUCGAAACCA
rnacentral:tRNA from 1 species